rnacentral:rRNA from 1 species
GCUUAACACAUGCAAGUCGAGGGGCAGCAUUUCAGUUUGCUUGCAAACUGGAGAUGGCGACCGGCGCACGGGUGAGUAACACGUAUCCAACCUGCCGAUAACUCGGGGAUAGCCUUUCGAAAGAAAGAUUAAUACCCGAUGGUAUAAUCAGACCGCAUGGUCUUGUUAUUAAAGAAUUUCGGUUAUCGAUGGGGAUGCGUUCCAUUAGGCAGUUGGUGAGGUAACGGCUCACCAAACCUUCGAUGGAUAGGGGUUCUGAGAGGAAGGUCCCCCACAUUGGAACUGAGACACGGUCCAAACUCCUACGGGAGGCAGCAGUGAGGAAUAUUGGUCAAUGGGCGCAGGCCUGAACCAGCCGAGUAGCGUGAAGGAUGACUGCCCUAUGGGUUGUAAACUUCUUUUAUAUGGGAAUAAAGUUUUCCACGUGUGGAAUUUUGUAUGUACCAUAUGAAUAAGGAUCGGCUAACUCCGUGCCAGCAGCCGCGGUAAUACGGAGGAUCCGAGCGUUAUCCGGAUUUAUUGGGUUUAAAGGGAGCGUAGGUGGACAGUUAAGUCAGUUGUGAAAGUUUGCGGCUCAACCGUAAAAUUGCAGUUGAUACUGGCUGUCUUGAGUACAGUAGAGGUGGGCGGAAUUCGUGGUGUAGCGGUGAAAUGCUUAGAUAUCACGAAGAACUCCGAUUGCGAAGGCAGCUCACUGGACUGCAACUGACACUGAUGCUCGAAAGUGUGGGUAUCAAACAGGAUUAGAUACCCUGGUAGUCCACACAGUAAACGAUGAAUACUCGCUGUUUGCGAUAUACAGUAAGCGGCCAAGCGAAAGCAUUAAGUAUUCCACCUGGGGAGUACGCCGGCAACGGUGAAACUCAAAGGAAUUGACGGGGGCCCGCACAAGCGGAGGAACAUGUGGUUUAAUUCGAUGAUACGCGAGGAACCUUACCCGGGCUUAAAUUGCAUUUGAAUAUAUUGGAAACAGUAUAGCCGUAAGGCAAAUGUGAAGGUGCUGCAUGGUUGUCGUCAGCUCGUGCCGUGAGGUGUCGGCUUAAGUGCCAUAACGAGCGCAACCCUUAUCUUUAGUUACUAACAGGUCAUGCUGAGGACUCUAGAGAGACUGCCGUCGUAAGAUGUGAGGAAGGUGGGGAUGACGUCAAAUCAGCACGGCCCUUACGUCCGGGGCUACACACGUGUUACAAUGGGGGGUACAGAAGGCAGCUACCUGGUGACAGGAUGCUAAUCCCAAAAGCCUCUCUCAGUUCGGAUCGAAGUCUGCAACCCGACUUCGUGAAGCUGGAUUCGCUAGUAAUCGCGCAUCAGCCAUGGCGCGGUGAAUACGUUCCCGGGCCUUGUACACACCGCCCGUCAAGCCAUGAAAGCCGGGGGUACCUGAAGUACGUAACCGCAAGGAGCGUCCUAGGGUAAAACUGGUAAUUGGGGCUAAGUC